rnacentral:rRNA from 1 species
GAUGAACGCUGGCGGCGUGCUUAACACAUGCAAGUCGAACGAUGAAGCAGGAGCUUGCUCCUGUGGAUCAGUGGCGAACGGGUGAGUAACACGUGAGCAAUCUGCCCUGGACUCUGGGAUAAGCGUUGGAAACGACGUCUAAUACCGGAUACGAGGCAUGGGGGCAUCCCCAACGCCUGGAAAGAACUUCGGUCCAGGAUGAGCUCGCGGCCUAUCAGGUAGUUGGUGAGGUAACGGCUCACCAAGCCUACGACGGGUAGCCGGCCUGAGAGGGUGACCGGCCACACUGGGACUGAGACACGGCCCAGACUCCUACGGGAGGCAGCAGUGGGGAAUAUUGCACCAUGGGCGCAAGCCUGAUGCAGCAACGCCGCGUGAGGGACGACGGCCUUCGGGUUGUAAACCUCUUUUAGCAGGGAAGAAGCGAAAGUGACGGUACCUGCAGAAAAAGCACCGGCUAACUACGUGCCAGCAGCCGCCGUAAAAC